GUGACCAUAAAGGAAAAGGGGAAACCCUGUGUUAGGAUGAAGUGUUUAAUUUUCAUUGGUCAUGUUAGUUAGGGCAGCCAACAGGGGGCUUUUGAUUGCAGGACUUCAAUACUUUGAUAGCUGGACCUUGGUGGUCAGCCUCAGGAGGAGGGAGUGGCCAAAUAAGGGAACAGACCUUGGUGGCUGGCUUUAGGAAUGCAAGCUAAAAGUUUAGCAAGGCAGAGGGAAUGGGGCAGAAGAGUAAAAGGCAAAACCUAUCGAUGGCAAGUUCCAGCCUGCUGGAGCCCUUCACCUGCAACCCCAGAAUGUUCAGGAGCUAAGAACAGGAAGAUCAGAAGUCAAGGAGUCUAACCUAUCAGUACACUAGUUCUCGGAGCCAGCGAGGGAGAGGACUGUCUCACCGCCUGAUGCCCGCCUGGCACCCAGCCCGCGCAGCACUGGUUUUAAUCGGUCGCUUUCCGCAAGCAGCUCCUGGAGGCGCGGGGGCGCCUUCCCCUUGACUUGAAUCUCCAGGAGGAGGCAGUUUGGCUAAAAAUAACUUGAAUCGCUGCGGCUCCCACCCUGGCGCAGAGGAGGGGCCUGGGGGUGCGGGGGCGGCAUUGGAGGGAAUGUGGCAGCAGCCAGGAGGGGGUUCCCUGAAAGGAAGCAGAGACGAGCGAGCGAGUGCUGGCAGGUGGGAGAGGGUGUAGUUUGCGGAAGGGAGCUGGUCCUUCUCAGUUCCCUCCGGCUUCCAGAUCUACUCCCCCGAAAGCCCGCCGAGCUGGAGGCCUCUUUCACCCCAUUCUUUUGUAUUGGGGGGUAACUGGCCUGGCUGCGGUGUGGCAUGGGGGCUCUUUCCAACAGCACAGACUGUGUUGUGUGGACAAGACUUCUCUCUCUCUCCUACGUCCCUUCCUCCCUCCAAACAGGAGCCCCCCCCCCUUGGCUUUCUGCCUGGAAUGCAGGCCUACCAGUCAUCAGGCAGAGGCGUGCAUCUGGACUUAUGUCUCGUUCCGUGUGUGUGACACUGAAACCAGCAUCUCCAUCUGAAAAUUAGCUCCAUAUGCCAGGACCACUGGGACAGAGCAGGGAGAGGGAACACAAGCAUCUGGAAGGCAAGCCCGAGGCUGCUGGGCAAGAGGGCCACAUGGCAGUCAUCUGGAGAACAGGUGGGUCAUCGAAGCACUGGCCGGCUGACUGGAAUGAAGAGGUUGAAGCAUGAAGAAGGAAAUCAAUUUAACAUCCGCUCCGCAGCCUUCACUGAGCUCUCUGGUUCUCUGUAACUGCCCCAAGGAGACAGUACUGAGGUUUAUCUGCCCUCGCUUCAUAAGCACACUGAAACUAGUGAAGAGGAGCUCACCUGACCUGAUGGCUGGACAUCUGAACCCAACACCAUCCGGCAUCAAGUCUCUUUUUACUAUUUCUUGCUGUUCUGAAUUUAGGGCUAGUGGGAUCUGAUAUGUCUGUGGAGGACUGGAGAUGGAGUGCAUGGGUGUUCUUUGGUGUCAAGCCUGCUACACUGAAACAGAAAACAAAGUAAAGACAUAGUUCAUUGACUUCCUUCACACCGGGACAAAGCCCCACACAACUGAGUUGGUUCUGAGGAUUGAGCUCAUGCAUAGCCAUCACAUUCACCAGGAGUUCCAACUCCAGACUGUAUCAGUUACUUUUCUGCUGCUCAGAGAACACAUUGUGGCCAAGACGACUUACAGAAGGAAGUGUUUAUCUGUGCCUACAGUCCCAGAGGGAGAAGUAUCUUUCAGGGUGGUGAGGCAUGGCAGCAAGUUGUAGGUAUGGUAGAAGGAGCAGCAACCUGAGCUGUCACAUCUUCAGCCACAAGCUUAAAGCAGAGACAAUGAACAGGACGAGGGGUCAGGCUGUGAACUUGCCAAGCCUCCUUGAAGGCUUCACCAACUGGGAACCAAGUGCUCAAGCAUCUGAGCCAUGGGGAGCACUUCUCAUUUAAACCUCCACACUCCCCAUUACCCUGCCCUAGCUGAGUGUCCCAUGAAGUCAUUCUCUCUCUCACGAUGAGUGGGUCCAGAUACAGUUUUGAAUGCCAGACUGGUAAGUGGACCAGAGUUCUCUACGCCUGAGGGUGCCAGGGACAGAAGGGGAGAUAAAUGGAAUGGAAGACCAGGGCCUGGCCAAAUUCAGCUGCCUAGGGCUCUUUAACUGCUUGAACAGAAAACAGAAGAUGGGAGUCUGUCUCAAAGGGCUCACCCUCACUGCAGGCAGGCAGUCUGACAACCACCCAUCAUUCCAUCCAUCCCUCAACCCACCAUGCACACAUCCAUGCAGCCAACAUGUGUAAGUGGCAGAAUAAUGGCUCCCCAAAGAUGUUCUAAUCCCCAGAACCCAGAUUGUUACUUAACAAUGGCAAAGGGGGAUUAAGGUUGCAGAUGGAAUGUGGGCUGCUAAUUAUCUGGAGUCAGAAUAGGGAGAUUACCUUGGAUUUUCCGAGUGGGCCUAAUGUAAUCACAAGGGUCUUGGAGAGGAGAACAGGGCCUCAAAAGAGAGGUCCAGAGAGAUGACAGUGUGAGAAGGACUUGGCCAGUAUGUCUGAGUCUAAAGAUGAAGAAAUAGGACCUGAAGACAAGGAAAAUGGGAAGCUUGGAAAGGCAAGGGAGUGGAUACUCCCUGAGGGUGUCUAGAUGGCAGCCCUGGGAGAGUUCAGCCCAUGGGGAUAGAUACCCUUUUCUGAAUACAUUUGCAUCGUUUCAAGCCACUAAAUCUGUGGUACUCUUUUACAGCAGCUGUAGGAACUGCACACACCAUCGAUUUAUCCAGCCCAUGGCAUAGCCAUCCGGUCAGCCACCCAUGCACUUAGCACACAUACGUUGAGUGUGUCUGUGUUAGCUGCCAGACUGUGAGAGUGAACAGUGAGUACCUGCCUGGAGCUCUCCAUCCCUGGGGCGGCGGACGUGGGGUUUCCGGUUAGGGAUGUUUUUUUGCUUUGACUGUAGGAAUGAGGCAUUUGGAAAGGAUUAUGGGAACAUCCACGGCUUGUCAGUUCUUAGUGACAGGAACAAGAUACAGAUUAUUGCAAGACAGUUGUGAGUCUAUGCAGCCAGCUUCUUUCCUGAGGGCUGUCCUUGCUGCCGCCUCUGCCAUCACCCCACAAGAAUGUAGUGCUCUUAACUCUGUCCAGUGAGUAGGCAAAGGGAUAGGUCCAACCAGGAUGCCUUUCUGGGGAGACCUCUACCUUCUUCUCCAUACAGCAAGGCCCUUGGCUACUCCUGUCAUUCAGCCUGGCUGCCUGGGCUUCUAGUCCAUCUGCUGUAUUAUUGGUGGUAGCUAGGGUACCUGCUUGCUCAGGGGGUCUGGCUGAUUGCAAACUAUGGACCAUUCUUUUUUGAAUUUUCACAACCUCACCUAUGGAAGGAGAAUAAUGAUGGCAUGGCCCUUCUUCCAGGGUCACAACCCAGGAAGAGAGAAACCAUUACUGAAGCCCAUACUGCUCAGACCCUGGUACAUACAACUCCUCCCUUGAGGAAGGUGAUACUGAAAACUGUAAGUGAUGUACACAUAGUUGUCAUGCUCCAUGCAGCUGAGGGGUAGGGGUAAUGGCAUUUAGCCCCCUUUGUGAGGAAAGAAUAAGGUUCUAAUGCCACCCUGAGGCCCAGGCCUUAGCUUGCCAGGGUACAAUUCUGCAGAGCCUAAUUACAGCACAGCCUGCAGUCCCUGGCCUGAGAGCUGCCAUGGGUACAGUCCCCACCAGGCCCAGCUCAUGUUACAGUCUUCCAGGAACAGCCUGUACCUUGGUGCAACUCUGAGAAUGAGCCAAGAAGGUGUUGGCCAUCCUGAUCCAAUGUCCUCAAAGGCAAGACGUGUGUGUAGCCACAUCCAGAGAUGCUUCAGGCCAAGAGUGUGGCCAAAGAUAGCUUCUGGGAAGCUGAUCCGGAAGGCUUGGAGUGGGGAGGUGGGGGCAGGUGGGGCUCAGCAUCAAGAA
ensembl:lncRNA